rnacentral:rRNA from 1 species
AUUGAACGCUGGCGGCAUGCCUUACACAUGCAAGUCGAACGGUAACGGGCCUUCGGGUGCCGACGAGUGGCGAACGGGUGAGUAAUACAUCGGAACGUGCCCGAUCGUGGGGGAUAACGCGGCGAAAGCUUUGCUAAUACCGCAUACGAUCUACGGAUGAAAGCAGGGGACCGCAAGGCCUUGCGCGGACGGAGCGGCCGAUGGCAGAUUAGGUAGUUGGUGGGAUAAAAGCUUACCAAGCCGACGAUCUGUAGCUGGUCUGAGAGGAUGAUCAGCCACACUGAGACUGAGACACGGCCCAGACUCCUACGGGAGGAAGCAGUGGGGAAUUUUGGACAAUGGGCGCAAGCCUGAUCCAGCCAUGCCGCGGGCAGGAUGAAGGCCUUCGGGUUGUAAACUGCUUUUGUACGGAACGAAAAGCCUUCUUUUAAUACAGGAGGGUCAUGACGGUACCGUAAGAAUAAGCACCGGCUAACUACGU